rnacentral:rRNA from 1 species
AGAGUUUGAUCCUGGCUCAGGACGAACGCUGGCGGCGCGCCUAACACAUGCAAGUCGAACGAGAGAUGAGGAGCUUGCUCUUCAAAUCGAGUGGCGAACGGGUGAGUAACGCGUGAGGAACCUGCCUCAAAGAGGGGGACAACAGUUGGAAACGACUGCUAAUACCGCAUAAGCCCACGGCUCGGCAUCGAGCAGAGGGAAAAGGAGCAAUCCGCUUUGAGAUGGCCUCGCGUCCGAUUAGCUGGUUGGUGAGGUAACGGCCCACCAAGGCGACGAUCGGUAGCCGGACUGAGAGGUUGAACGGCCACAUUGGGACUGAGACACGGCCCAGACUCCUACGGGAGGCAGCAGUGGGGAAUAUUGCACAAUGGGGGAAACCCUGAUGCAGCGACGCCGCGUGGAGGAAGAAGGUCUUCGGAUUGUAAACUCCUGUUGUUGAGGAAGAUAAUGACGGUACUCAACAAGGAAGUGACGGCUAACUACGUGCCAGCAGCCGCGGUAAAACGUAGGUCACAAGCGUUGUCCGGAAUUACUGGGUGUAAAGGGAGCGCAGGCGGGAGAACAAGUUGGAAGUGAAAUCCAUGGGCUCAACCCAUGAACUGCUUUCAAAACUGUUUUUCUUGAGUAGUGCAGAGGUAGGCGGAAUUCCCGGUGUAGCGGUGGAAUGCGUAGAUAUCGGGAGGAACACCAGUGGCGAAGGCGGCCUACUGGGCACCAACUGACGCUGAGGCUCGAAAGUGUGGGUAGCAAACAGGAUUAGAUACCCUGGUAGUCCACACCGUAAACGAUGAUUACUAGGUGUUGGAGGAUUGACCCCUUCAGUGCCGCAGUUAACACAAUAAGUAAUCCACCUGGGGAGUACGACCGCAAGGUUGAAACUCAAAGGAAUUGACGGGGGCCCGCACAAGCAGUGGAGUAUGUGGUUUAAUUCGACGCAACGCGAAGAACCUUACCAAGUCUUGACAUCCUGCGACGCACAUAGAAAUAUGUGUUUCCUUCGGGACGCAGAGACAGGUGGUGCAUGGUUGUCGUCAGCUCGUGUCGUGAGAUGUUGGGUUAAGUCCCGCAACGAGCGCAACCC